rnacentral:rRNA from 1 species
AGUGAACGCUGGCGGUAGGCCUAACACAUGCAAGUCGAACGGCAGCACAGUAAGAGCUUGCUCUUACGGGUGGCGAGUGGCGGACGGGUGAGGAAUACAUCGGACUCUACUUUUUCGUGGGGGAUAACGUAGGGAAACUUACGCUAAUACCGCAUACGACCUACGGGUGAAAGCAGGGGAUCUUCGGACCUUGCGCGAUUGAAUGAGCCGAUGUCGGAUUAGCUAGUUGGCGGGGUAAAGGCCCACCAAGGCGACGAUCCGUAGCUGGUCUGAGAGGAUGAUCAGCCACACUGGAACUGGGACACGGUCCAGACUCCUAAGGGAGGCAGCAGUGGGGAAUAUUGGACAAUGGGCGCAAGCAUGAUCCAGCCAUACCGCGUGGGUGAAGAAGGCCUUCGGGUUGUAAAGCCCUUUUGUUGGGAAAGAAAAGCAGCAGGUUAAGACCACGCUGUUCUGACGGUACCCAAAGAAUAAGCACCGGCUAACUUCGUG